rnacentral:rRNA from 1 species
CCUACGGGAGGCAGCAGUGAGGAAUAUUGGUCAAUGGACGAGAGUCUGAACCAGCCAAGUAGCGUGAAGGAUGACUGCCCUAUGGGUUGUAAACUUCUUUUAUAAAGGAAUAAAACGAGGCACGUGUGCCUUUUUGCAUGUACUUUAUGAAUAAGGAUCGGCUAACUCCGUGCCAGCAGCCGCGGUAAUACGGAGGAUUCGAGCGUUAUCCGGAUUUAGUGGGUUUAAAGGGAGCGUAGGUGGGUUGUUAAGUCAGUUGUGAAAGUUUGAGGCUCAACCGUAAAAUUGCAAUUGAUACUGGCAGUCUUGAGUACAGUUGAGGUAAGCGGAAUGCGUGGUGUAGCGGUGAAAUGCUUAGAUAUCACGAAGAACCCCGAUUGCGAAGGCAGCUUACUAAACUGUGACUGACAUUGAUGCUCGAAAGUGUGGGUAUCAAACAGGAUUAGAUACCCCUGUAGUC